rnacentral:rRNA from 1 species
AGCGGACGAAGGGAGCUUGCUCCCGGAUGUUAGCGGCGGACGGGUGAGUAACACGUGGGUAACCUGCCUGUAAGACUGGGAUAACUCCGGGAAACCGGAGCUAAUACCGGAUAGUUCCUUGAACCGCAUGGUUCAAGGAUGAAAGACGGUUUCGGCUGUCACUUACAGAUGGACCCGCGGCGCAUUAGCUAGUUGGUGAGGUAACGGCUCACCAAGGCGACGAUGCGUAGCCGACCUGAGAGGGUGAUCGGCCACACUGGGACUGAGACACGGCCCAGACUCCUACGGGAGGCAGCAGUAGGGAAUCUUCCGCAAUGGACGAAAGUCUGACGGAGCAACGCCGCGUGAGUGAUGAAGGUUUUCGGAUCGUAAAGCUCUGUUGUUAGGGAAGAACAAGUGCAAGAGUAACUGCUUGCACCUUGACGGUACCUAACCAGAAAGCCACGGCUAACUACGUGCCAGCAGCCGCGGUAAUACGUAGGUGGCAAGCGUUGUCCGGAAUUAUUGGGCGUAAAGGGCUCGCAGGCGGUUUCUUAAGUCUGAUGUGAAAGCCCCCGGCUCAACCGGGGAGGGUCAUUGGAAACUGGGAAACUUGAGUGCAGAAGAGGAGAGUGGAAUUCCACGUGUAGCGGUGAAAUGCGUAGAGAUGUGGAGGAACACCAGUGGCGAAGGCAACUCUCUGGUCUGUAACUGACGCUGAGGAGCGAAAGCGUGGGGAGCGAACAGGAUUAGAUACCCUGGUAGUCCACGCCGUAAACGAUGAGUGCUAAGUGUUAGGGGGUUUCCGCCCCUUAGUGCUGCAGCUAACGCAUUAAGCACUCCGCCUGGGGAGUACGGUCGCAAGACUGAAACUCAAAGGAAUUGACGGGGGCCCGCACAAGCGGUGGAGCAUGUGGUUUAAUUCGAAGCAACGCGAAGAACCUUACCAGGUCUUGACAUCCUCUGACAACCCUAGAGAUAGGGCUUUCCCUUCGGGGACAGAGUGACAGGUGGUGCAUGGUUGUCGUCAGCUCGUGUCGUGAGAUGUUGGGUUAAGUCCCGCAACGAGCGCAACCCUUGAUCUUAGUUGCCAGCAUUUAGUUGGGCACUCUAAGGUGACUGCCGGUGACAAACCGGAGGAAGGUGGGGAUGACGUCAAAUCAUCAUGCCCCUUAUGACCUGGGCUACACACGUGCUACAAUGGACAGAACAAAGGGCUGCGAGACCGCAAGGUUUAGCCAAUCCCACAAAUCUGUUCUCAGUUCGGAUCGCAGUCUG